rnacentral:rRNA from 1 species
UACGUAGGGGGCAAGCGUUGUCCGGAUUUAUUGGGCGUAAAGAGCGUGUGGGCGGCUUUACAGGUCCGUUGUGAAAACUCGAGGCUCAACCUCGAGACGCCGGUGGAAACCGUAAAGCUAGAGUCCGGAAGAGGAGAGUGGAAUUCCUGGUGUAGCGGUGAAAUGCGCAGAUAUCAGGAAGAACACCCGUGGCGAAGGCGGCUCUCUGGGACGGUACUGACGCUGAGACGCGAAAGCGUGGGGAGCGAACAGG